rnacentral:rRNA from 1 species
AGUGAACGCUGGCGGCGUGCCUAAUACAUGCAAGUCGAACGGAGAUUAAGUAGCUUGCUAUUUAAUCUUAGUGGCGCACGGGUGAGUAAUAUAUAGCUAACUUGCCCAUUACUAAGGGACAACAGUUGGAAACGACUGCUAAUACCUUAUACUCCGUAUCUAUAUAAGUAGAUACGGGAAAGUUUUUCGGUAAUGGAUAGGGCUAUAUCGUAUCAGCUAGUUGGUAAGGUAAUGGCUUACCAAGGCUAUGACGCGUAACUGGUCUGAGAGGAUGAUCAGUCACACUGGAACUGAGACACGGUCCAGACUCCUACGGGAGGCAGCAGUAGGGAAUAUUGAUCAAUGGGGGAAACCCUGAAGCAGCAACGCCGCGUGAAGGAUGACACUUUUCGGAGCGUAAACUCCUUUUCUUGGGAAAGAAUUAUGACGGUACCCAAGGAAUAAGCACCGGCUAACUCCGUG